CGCGUAGGCGGAAAGAUAAGUCAGAUGUGAAAUUCCGAAGCUCAACUUCGGAGCUGCAUUUGAAACUAUGAUUCUAGAGGAUAGACGGAGAAAACGGAAUUCCACGUGUAGCGGUGAAAUGCGUAGAUAUGUGGAAGAACACCUGUGGCGAAAGCGGUUUUCUAGUUUAGACCUGACGCUGAGGCGCGAGAGCAAGGGGAUCAAACA
rnacentral:rRNA from 1 species